rnacentral:rRNA from 1 species
AGAUUAAAACUCAAAUGAAUUGACGGGGGCCCGCACAAGCGGUGGAGCAUGUGGUUUAAUUCGAUGCAACGCGAAGAACCUUACCUACUCUUGACAUCUACAGAAGCCAGCGGAGACGCAGGUGUGCCUUCGGGAACUGUAAGACAGGUGCUGCAUGGCUGUCGUCAGCUCGUGUUGUGAAAUGUUGGGUUAAGUCCCGCAACGAGCGCAACCCUUAUCCUUGUUUGCCAGCACUUCGGGUGGGAACUCCAGGGAGACUGCCGGUGAUAAACCGGAGGAAGGUGGGGACGACGUCAAGUCAUCAUGGCCCUUACGAGUAGGGCUACACACGUGCUACAAUGGCGCAUACAGAGGGCGGCCAACUUGCGAAAGUGAGCGAAUCCCAAAAAGUGCGUCGUAGUCCGGAUUGGAGUCUGCAACUCGACUCCAUGAAGUCGGAAUCGCUAGUAAUCGUGGAUCAGAAUGCCACGGUGAAUACGUUCCCGGGCCUUGUACACACCGCCCGUCACACCAUGGGAGUGGGCUGCAAAAGAAGUGGGUAGUUUAACCUUCGGGAGGACGCUCACCACUUUGUGGUUCAUGACUGGGGUGAA